UACGGAGGGGGCUAGCGUUGCUCGGAAUCACUGGGCGUAAAGGGUGCGUAGGCGGGUCUUUAAGUCAGGGGUGAAAUCCUGGAGCUCAACUCCAGAACUGCCUUUGAUACUGAAGAUCUUGAGUUCGGGAGAGGUGAGUGGAACUGCGAGUGUAGAGGUGAAAUUCGUAGAUAUUCGCAAGAACACCAGUGGCGAAGGCGGCUCACUGGCCCGAUACUGACGCUGAGACACGAAAGCGUGGGGAGCAAACAGG
rnacentral:rRNA from 1 species